UACAGAGGGGGCAAGCGUUGUUCGGAAUUACUGGGCGUAAAGGGCGCGUAGGCGGCCUGCUAAGUCGAACGUGAAAUCCCUCGGCUCAACCGAGGAACUGCGUCCGAUACUGGUGGGCUUGAAUCCGGGAGAGGGAUGUGGAAUUCCAGGUGUAGCGGUGAAAUGCGUAGAUAUCUGGAGGAACACCGGUGGCGAAGGCGGCAUCCUGGACCGGUAUUGACGCUGAGGCGCGAAAGCUAGGGGAGCAAACGGG
rnacentral:rRNA from 1 species